rnacentral:piRNA from 1 species
UCGCUCUAUUCACUCCACGGCAGCGCGC